rnacentral:rRNA from 1 species
UGCUUCAAUUGCCGGCGACCGGCGCACGGGUGAGUAACGCGUAUCCAACCUUCCGUACACUCAGGGAUAGCCUUUCGAAAGAAAGAUUAAUACCUGAUGGUAUGAUGAGAUUGCAUGAUAGCAUCAUUAAAGAUUUAUCGGUGUACGAUGGGGAUGCGUUCCAUUAGGUAGUAGGCGGGGUAACGGCCCACCUAGCCAACGAUGGAUAGGGGUUCUGAGAGGAAGGUCCCCCACAUUGGAACUGAGACACGGUCCAAACUCCUACGGGAGGCAGCAGUGAGGAAUAUUGGUCAAUGGACGAGAGUCUGAACCAGCCAAGUAGCGUGAAGGAUGAAGGUCCUACGGAUUGUAAACUUCUUUUAUAAGGGAAUAAACCCUCCCACGUGUGGGAGCUUGUAUGUACCUUAUGAAUAAGCAUCGGCUAACUCCGUGCCAGCAGCCGCGGUAAUACGGAGGAUGCGAGCGUUAUCCGGAUUUAUUGGGUUUAAAGGGAGCGCAGACGGGUCGUUAAGUCAGCUGUGAAAGUUUGGGGCUCAACCUUAAAAUUGCAGUUGAUACUGGCGUCCUUGAGUGCGGUUGAGGUGUGCGGAAUUCGUGGUGUAGCGGUGAAAUGCUUAGAUAUCACGAAGAACUCCGAUUGCGAAGGCAGCACACUAAUCCGUAACUGACGUUCAUGCUCGAAAGUGUGGGUAUCAAACAGGAUUAGAUACCCUGGUAGUCCACACGGUAAACGAUGGAU